GACGUAGGGCGCGAGCGUUGUCCGGAUUUAUUGGGCGUAAAGAGCUCGUAGGCGGUUUGUCGCGUCGUCCGUGAAAACUCACAGCUUAACUGUGAGCUUGCGGUCGAUACGGGCAGGCUAGAGUUCGGUAGGGGAGACUGGAAUUCCUGGUGUAGCGGUGAAAUGCGCAGAUAUCAGGAGGAACACCGGUGGCGAAGGCGGGUCUGUGGGCCGAUACUGACGCUGAGGAGCGAAAGCGUGGGGAGCAAACAGG
rnacentral:rRNA from 1 species